GCAGAGAGUGAUAGCUCUGGCUCCUUCGAGUGGGCCUCUGUCCACGGGGCAUGCCUGGCCUGACUAUAACUGGAUACUCUCGGCAGGUUUGAGAGAAGAUGACCAUGGACAUGUUUCUGUAUGGUUUUGUUUUGUUUUGUUUUUGCUCACUGGUGAAUUCAUAUAUUUGUGAAUCACAUAUAUGGAGUUCAGUGGAGCCUGCAGAGAGGAAUAGUCUGUUUAUCUUAGACAUACUGAGUAUCGCAGAGAAAAUUUACUCUCAGCAAGUAGGAAUGGAGGGUUUGUGAAAGAUUUCUGUAUCAAGUUCAAGGCUGGCUUGGACCACAUGGCCUUCCCCCCCAGUUCAGAAUCUCAGUAAGCUGGUUGCCACAGCGUUGUUCAGAAGGGGAGAAAGGAGGGAUGUCCAUAGCUGGUGAUCCCUAUCUGUGCCUCUCGAUGGGUUUACUGCCCCUCAGAGAACUCCUUAACCAGACAGCUGUCAGCUCCAAGAGGAAACCGGAGAGCGUGUGGUGGCCAGUGCUCAGCCAUGGUGAUGUGGUCGCCACAGACAACUCAAGAAAGCUAACCACCAGCCCAUGUCUAGCAAAAUCAAUACACUCUCAGAAGCUUGCACACUGUGCCAGUGAAGUGUGGUCAGAUAGUGUUGAACACCAGGCAGGCCAUGUGCCAGUGCUGACCAAGAUUGUGCCCAGCAGGACAACUUUGGCCAUCUGUCUUCAUCCUAGUAAGAGCCAGCAGGCCAAUGAAAACAAACAAACCUAAGCACA
rnacentral:lncRNA from 1 species